UACGUAGGUGACCAGCGUUGUCCGGAUUUACUGGGCGUAAAGAGCGCGCAGGCGGUCGUUCAAGUCGAGUGUGAAAGCCCCCGGCUCAACUGGGGAGGGUCACUCGAUACUGAUCGACUUGAAGGCAGGAGAGGGAAGCGGAAUUCCCGGUGUAGUGGUGAAAUGCGUAGAUAUCGGGAGGAACACCAGUGGCGAAGGCGGCUUCCUGGCCUGUUCUGACACUGAGGAGCGAAAGCGUGGGGAGCGAUCCGG
rnacentral:rRNA from 1 species